CUAAAAAUUGACAUAUAAUCAAAAACACAAAAUACAUUCAUAAGCAAACUUACAAUAAAAACAAAAGGCUUUUUGGGGUGGGGGGGUUUAACCCCCUCUGAAACCCUAAAUCUGAAAUCAACCAUGGAAAAAUUCCCUUCUCUUACCUAAGUUCCUCUAUUCCACCGGCCAUUCAGUUGUAACUAUGAUUGGUUUGCUGUUUGUUGUGAUACCCUAAUUAUUAUAUGGAUUCUUUUCAUAAAUCAUUGCUGCUAUGAUAUAUUCCUGAUCUUAAUCGAGGAAGUUUCGGCGCUGUUCUUCGUCGAGAUUUAUUCUCCGUUUUCGUCGCUGUAUUCUCUGAUUUUUAAUUCCACAUAUCAGAAGUGUGCAAGUUAUCCAGCAUAGUACGGAAGAUUCCUGGUAUCGUUGGGAUCAUUGUGGUACUCAUUCACCCAAAGAAUCAAGUGAAAGAAAAGAAAGAAGUCACUAUGGAUCAAUCAGGACAAAAAGGAGAGACUCAGGUAACGGUCAAGCGGCACAUCUCAACAUCUAGACUCAAAUUCACUAAGCUGAAGUACCUGAUUAGCACAUUGGACCAAUUGCAACGAAACCCACCUCGGACAUCCAAAUUCUUAUUGGCACCGAGGUGCUCAUCAAAAUUACUGCUUUUCUUGUGGAAAGCAUUCGACAGCCUGCGGAGCCUCGACAACCAAAUCCAUCUCACCGAUUUCAACAGCUACCACCUAAGCAAUACUGAUCCGGAGACUGCUAUCACACUAUUCUAUCAUGUUACUGAAGAUUCAUGGCAUACUAAUUCAAGUGUUUUUGAUAACUAUUUGGGUGUCAUAUACCUCAAUGUAAUAGCUUCUUAGUAGAUUAAUAAAUAUUAUGCUUCAAAAAAAACAAAAA